CUUUAAGUAAUGGUGUUGGGGAUCUUGCACUUGCAAAUGAAGUAAAACAGGUUAUGGAUUUGGAUGACAACAGCAACAAUCCAAGCACCAGUGAAUGUGUCCCUGUCCAGAGCUCCUGUUACAGAGACUACACCAAUCUCUUUGAGCCCAUUGUUAUUGAUGAUGAUGAUGAUGAUGAUG